AUCAAGUAAUUAUUGUUUUUGAUGGAUCAAAUAAUAAAUUUUAUUUAAUAAAUUAUAUAGAUAGAUGGUAAGAAAAUCCGAUAUGAUAAGAAAACGUGUCACAGUUCUAUUACGUGGCAACUGAAGGAGCUUUACAAGCGAAACAAAGUAGACAAAAAGCCAAAGGGAAGGGAGAUGAUGACACCGUAACGCUCAGCUCAAAGAAGGACCGAUCAUGGAGGAAGGGAUGAGAUUUCAUCUUUCUACCAUGUUCUGUUCCGGAAUCAAGGUAAAUAAAAAAAAACACUUGUUUACUAGUAGUAGUAUGUAUUCUGGGUGUGUUUGAUAAAAUAAUUGUGAAUGAAGAAGUUGUAUGAAGACAAUAAAAGGGUUAAUCUGUCAGAACACCGUACGACCACCCCGAUAGUGAUGUCACUGCCGAGAACGAUCAUCUACAGCCUAAGGAUGAUAGCUCAAACUGAGUAUCAUCAAGGCCAUUAAUCACGCUCUGAUCGCACGGUAAUAGUUCAUCCGCCAGAUUUAUGUUCCUGUCUCCUUUGAAAUCAAGGACACAGUAGUACGAGCCUAUAGAACAGAUCCUGUUCAAGUAAGGUCGUGACCAUUGCUCUACGCGUGGCUUAUAUAAACUAACUAUUUUCUCCGAACCUUAACGGUGUGGGACUAUAUUCUUCAUUUAUUUUUUUCAGAUUUGGAUUCAAGCUUUAUAACAAACUAUGGUUUACUUACCGCAACUUCCUUUUAUGCGUUGUGCAUCUAAUACCACCACCGAUUUGUUGAUCAAAAGUUGAUAAUCCUUUCUGAAUUGCUCGCUUUAGACUAUCCUUGUCAUGUUAGCAGCCAUUGCUUUUAGUACUCUCUUAUAUCUGUUAUAAAAGAAUGUUGCUUUUGUCCAUGAGCUAUUUGCCUAUUAUCUACCAAGGCAGUGUAGAGGGUAUAUAGCGGACAAAGGGAUGGCUAAGAGGACACGUUGACAUACACCGUGGAAUUCGGUUAGUCUCUGAAAGGCAUCCGUAUGUCUGAAUGAGACUUAUACACAAGUUUCACAUUCCUGAACAAUAGUUAUAACUUGUGUUUCUUCUGGUUGUUAGUUUCUAAUUCUAUUACAUUUUGUCAGGAAUAGUAGUUAGGUAGCAUCACAACUAUCACUUUAUUAUGGGAUUAAGGGAUAUAGAAAAAGUUAAAUUUAUAGAUAUUGCUUGUUUUUUCAAAGGGAGCCUCAAAGAUCAUGUAAUAGAGUUACAAAAAUAUUGAAAAUUGCGAUCUUAAUCCAUUAAUCGGCAUAGAUGGUCUUAUUGAAAAAUCAUUAUUAACUUAUGAUGGGUGGGCGUGGCAUUAGGGGAUGCAAGAUUCUUGCUUCAAGAAAUAUUGUUAUCCACCAAUAUCGUAAUGACGCCAGCAAGUGGAGUAGGUUGAGGUCUUUCAAAGAAAUUGAUCAAGUACUGAGAAAUGAUAAAGCAACUGAUUCCACUCAAGCUUUGGCUCUAAAUCUAUCUGAAUCCCGUUUGAAGCAAGUUGUAACCCUGAAGUUUUUGCAAAGAUGUGCAAUCUUGUUGAAUGGAGGGAAUAUCCUCUCGAGUCAAGAACUAAAGAGGAUAUUCAUGGUACAUGUAGCUCAAAAAUUUGCCCAAGAAUUCAACCAAACAACUGUCUGUCUCAGUGCGGGGUCAACCUUUCCAACAUGAACAAUCAUUACGUGACAACUUUGGUUGUGGCAGCGCAAUAAUUCAGGUCAACUUCAGUUUCACAGGGGAUGCUUUUGUGGGGACUAAUCUGGAGUGGAAAGGAAUGGCUUUGUAUUUGGUUAAGAUUUAUUCUUCUUGUCAUUUACUUUAUAAAAGAAAGCUUUGGAAGGAUUUGAAAGCUUGUGGGGACUAAUCUAUAUUUAAGUGGUUAAAUGCGGGAGACUCUAAUUCAAAGUUUAUUCACGCAACCAUGUAGAAGAGAUAUAGAAGAAAUAGUAUUUUAGCUCUUAAGUCAGAGAGGGGUUUGCUUGAGCAGGUUGAGGAUGUCAAGUUGGAAGUUCUGAGUCAUUUAGAAAGUAGAUUCUAAGAACCCAAGGCUCUCAGACCAAAUUUGGAGGGGGUAGACUUUAAGCACCUUUCAGUUGUUGAUUGCCUUAGUCUAAAGGAACCAUUCUCUGAAGAAGAAAUUAAGGAGGAAGCGCGAUUGUGCGAUGGCGAGAAGUGUCAAGGGCCGGACAAUUUUAACUUGUGUUUCUUAAAAAGGUUUUAAGACAUUAUCAAAAGUGAUGAUCUCUCUGCUUGUGUUAAAGAAUUCUAUGUGUGUGCUUCAUUGCCCAAGGCCUGCACGGCUGCACUGUGACUUUUCUGGCUUUAAUUCCAAAAGUCCAGGUUUAUCUGUGUGUGUGAAGGUAAUUCAAAGGUGGCGGAUUGUGGCAAGUGGUAGGAGGGAUCUUGGACCUGGGAAUUGGGUGUGAAUGUCAACUUGUUUCCUGCUUUUGUAGGCUGUGAUUUCGAUUUGUUGUUGUGAUUGUUGUAGGGCUUUCAACCGGUUCGGAAGUUGCACGAUACCUUUGUUUGGUGGCCUAAUCCUGAUGGCUUUUCUGCUAGAUCCUGCUAUAGCAGGCUGGAGUCUUUAUGCAAUUCGGAUUGGCUUGUAGAGGAAAGGCUUCAAAGAGAAUUGGAUCUUAUUUAGAAGUAUUUUAUUCUGAGUAAGGUGCAAGUCUUUGGUGGGAGAUUAUUUUGCAACAUAUAAUUCUAACUAGAGGCAAAUUGACUCAUAGAGGAAUCCUGAGUGGUGCCCACAAUUUCAUGUGUCAUGUUUGCCUAGGCCCAGAAGAUGUUAACUUAGAGUAAAGAGGCACAGAAAAACUGCUGUUUUUAUUGAUUGAUACGUUCAAAAUAACAAAGAUUGCAACUACUUAAUAA